ACAAUAUGAUAAUAGUGUUAUACUCCCAUAAAAGUAACAAUAUAAUUAAAGUUUGUCUAAGCAAUACAUGAUGAUUAUCACUUUAAUCCCCUGUCUAAUGACAAUACUUAACAGUUCCCUUUUUAGUUAAUCUUAAAAAUGCCAAUGGGUUAACAAAAAAAACUUUUAAAUUAAUAUUAAAAGAAUCCGUCGAUUGAGUCUUAAUUCGAUUGGUAUUAAUACUAUUGCUAGUGUAGAAGACCAAAUUUGCUGGGCCCAUUGUCCAGAAAAUACAAAUAGCAACCCAAUAAACCCGAAGCCCAACUACCCCAGCCCAUUAACC
rnacentral:lncRNA from 1 species